rnacentral:pre_miRNA from 11 species
CUGACACAUAACUGUGGACCAAUUACGAACCUUGGCACUGGGAGAAUUCACAGGCGCUAUUUGCUAUCAUUCUGUGGAUCUUUUCGUGCCAUCGUUUAAAUUCGGUCAAAAUCAACGAAGUGUGCA